rnacentral:snRNA from 1 species
ACCUCUAUGAGCUAAGAUCAAGCGUAGUAUCUGUUCUUAUCAGUUUAAUAUCUGAUAUGUUCUCGAUGUGAGAACUUUAUAUUAAAUGGACAUCUGCAGGGUGUUUCCCAGUAGAUGAUUGGUGUAAUUGGCUAAUGCUGCUGCUACUAACCC